rnacentral:rRNA from 1 species
GCUUGUCUCAAAGAUUAAGCCAUGCAUGUCUUAGUGUAAAUAACUCUUAUGAAACUGCGAAUGGCUCAUUAAAUCAGUUAUCAAAUACGUGAUGGUCGCCUACUACAUGGAUAACCGUAGUAAUUCUAGAGCUAAUACAUGCACAAAGGCCCACUCACGUGGGUUGUGAUUAUUAGAUUCAAACCGGCCUCGUUCUGGUGAUUCAUAAUAACUCGCGGAUCGGUUUACCGAUGCAUCAUUCAAGUUUCUGCCCUAUCAGCUUUGGAUGGUAGGGUAUUGGCCUACCAUGGCUUUAACGGGUAACGGAGAAUUAGGGUUCGAUUCCGGAGAGGGAGCCUGAGAAAUGGCUACCACAUCCAAGGAAGGCAGCAGG